UGCGCAUGCGUGCGGGGCUGCUAGUUUCGGUUCCCGGCGGCCGCCGCUGGCGGGUGGCGGUUACGGGAAGAGAGCGGGGGGGCCGCGGAGGGCGAGGGCGAGCCCGGCCGUUCUGGUGGCGGGGGGCGUCCCGACAUGGCGUGUCCGGCGCCAGCCGGGUCUCGAAGCGCGGUGGCCGUGAGGGAGGGCUGGCCGGCCGCCCCUCCCCCCCCCCCGUGCUGGGUGUGAGGGGAGGUUUCCCGCUCCCGCCCUCGCGGUGCGAGGCGGUUGAGGUUUGGUACGGGUUGGUGCAACGAGUGCUAAUGGUGGUGUUUAAGCUUAUAAUGAUUGACAAGAAGUCCCUCAGUGACGGACAGCCAGGUUGACAUUGCUGGAAUUUAUCAGACAUCUGUCACUCUCCACCUCACUGCAUACAAUUCUUUGUUGUGGAUCUGCGAGGAAAAUAAAAGUGGAGUCUGGAGACUUUUUUUCA
rnacentral:lncRNA from 1 species